UUACUUCCUACCGGUACCCAUUUACCUCACCUGGGUUGAGGUAAAUGAAUGGUUCAAAUGGAUUUGAAAUUUACAAAAUGGCGUCUGGCUGGUCAACCAUGUAUAACUGAAUGCCAGAUGCACAAUAAUAAGUGUCCUGGACAACAUUCCUAUAAAAAUCGGAAAAAUUUGGAUGAUGAGUGACGGGGCAAGGGCAGAAUCCAAAAAGGAAAUGGAAUUUGGGGGAAGAAAGAGAAGAUUGCCGAAGAGGAAUAAUGAACAUUGAGCAUAGACCCCCAUUUGACGUCAAUAAUCAUAAUUUACUUUUAUAUAGCGCUUUAUCAAUCUACGACUGCUCAGAGCGCUUUACAAUUAUUAUUACCCGGUCACUGGAUUCAUGGCUUUUUAGCAGGUUAGGUUGUUAGGCGCACAUUUGCUAAACCAACCACAAUGACGUUGUUUCCUACCUGUACCAAAUGGGUCCAAGGUUACUCGUCACCCAGAAAAGAGAAAUAUUUCUUUUGUUUGGAGUAUUAUGAGGCUUGACAUAAACAGUCUUGGUAGGCAUUCGACAGUCAGGCUGAAUAUCUUAUUCUUGUUCUUGAAUGGGUAUAUGAAGGACUUGCUGUCGGAAUCUUGGAAAGCAUUGGUGUCCCAAGUCAACUAAAGAUGGGUUCGGAUUUGUCCACUGAGGCAGAGCCUUCGAAUGAAACAGUCAGACGAAAAAGAGAUUCAGGCCAAAGGACUUCACAUCGGGUUCUUGUUGAGAAGAAUAGUUUAAGAUUCAAGAGGAGACUCACUCUUUUAGAGAAGAAAUACGAGCUCGAUGCAUCAACUACAACCAAUCAGCCCACAAAGUCCACCAACAGCUUUCACCCUGGCGCAUUAACGAGUAUUUCUGAAGAGGACGAUGUCUAUUUCCCUUAUGAAAACCUCGUACUGGAAGGCGGCGGAAGUCAGGGAAAUGCUUACCUUGGAGCCAUUAUGGAAAUGGAGCGACUCAACAUCCUGGGGAAGUUACGACGUUUCGCUGGUUCCAGCGUGGGGUCCAUGACAGCAUGUCUGCUUGCCAUAGGACAUGGGUCUAGCAAAUUUCUCUCCAUUGUGAACGAUGGCCCCCAAUUUUCAGAUCUGUUAGACGCAAGCUGUGGAAAACUAAGCCUGGUGCCAAAUCUGUAUCGUUACAUGGGCUGGCAUCCGGGGAGGUAUUUCUACACGACGCUCGGUAAGGACAUUGCUGAAAAGCUAGGAGACGAGAAUGCUACAUUCAAGGACCUUUACGAUCAGACUGGAAAGGAAUUAUGUGUAGUGGUGACCAAUCUAAGUACAAUGAUGGAGGAGUACUGCCACGUCAAGACUACUCCGAACAUGCCAAUUAGAACAGCAGUCAGGAUGUCCAUAUCUGCUCCAUUUGUAUUUGUUCCUGUCAAGCGGCAACAUAUGGGCCGGACCGAUCUCUACAUCGACGGUGGUGUUUUGUGUAACUAUCCAGUUCAUUGUUUCGAUGGAUGGUGGCUUUCUAUGAAACCCGAAGACUCUCUCCUGAAGAGAAUGCAACCCCUGGAGGAUGCAGCCAAGCUUCUCACCAAGAAAGAGAGAUUUGGGAUGUUCAACGACAAAACAUUCGGCAUGAUCAUAUACAGUGAUUAUGAUUCCCACGUACUUGCAACCAAUCCCGAACUAGAAGCACCCAUAGCACCUAUACCAGACACAAAACUUGCCAGAGCACACCAAAAAGUGAAAAUGAAGAGAGAAUUGAAUUUUAAAGAGCAUCGUCUCGUGACAGACGCAAUGACGAGAUUCCUCAAAGUUCUGGAUCAGAACUGUUUAGAAGGUACCACAAUUAAAAAGAACGAAUUCAUGCAAGCCUUCAACGAUAAUGAAGAGUUCACAUCUGACCACGCCCAAAUUCUCUUCGGUGAAGACCUUACUAUCGAGGAAAUAUUUGCCAGUAUUGAUGCCAAUUCUGAUGGGGAGAUUGACUUCAACGAGCUGAUGUCUUUAGCUGAGCAGGAAGGCGUAGGAAUCCAAACCCAUCACAUUGGAACAGGACAUCUUGAGAUCAAGAACACGACUGAGUAUCUCGUUGGUAUCUUCAAUAUGCUUCUCAUGAAUGUAAAGAGAGCUUUCUUAGAGGGCCAUGAUAUAGAGAGAACAGUCCUAAUCAAUACUGUGUAUGUCAAAUCCUUAGACUUUAGCCCAGAGAAGGAAGACCUGGAUUUCUUAGUAGAGCAAGGACGUCGUGGACUGCAUACAUUCCUCAAGUAUCAGAAGAACAAAGCUGAGAGGAAAAACAUUACCAAGGGAUCAGCAAAUCUGAACAGUCAAAAAGGAAGAGGAAAAGAAGGAUGAGAAUAAGAAUACGAAAGGAGAGGAGAAGGAAAAAAAAUUGUGCCAAAAUGUUUGUUAACGAAUUAUAGCUGAUAUUUCUUCUUAUUGAGGAGUCUUGACUUUCGUACACUUUACAGAAGUAUACAACGUUUCUCCAAUCCAUCCAAUCACAUCAUUCCAAGAAGUUGUGCCUACAUAAGAUAAACACUCCUUUCCCAAGCUUGUCCUAACCUUUGGUACGUACAGAUCCUCAUCUUAUUUUUGCUUUGUAUUAUAUAUAUGUUGAAUUAGUGAACAAUAUUGUAGCAGUGAAUGUGGCAAAUUUGUAUUAAUUAGAUCAUACAUAAAACUACAGAUAUAUAAUCUAUACAGUUGGUAAAUGUCAAGAACCCUAAAUCUUAAGAACCCUAAAUAAUGGUGCUGAUCUUGUCAUGUACGUCCUGAAUGUUAUCGCACGCACUGCCAUUUUUUAAAUUAAUGAUAUAGAAUCUAGAUCAUUUUUUCUAGCUCCAUUUCAACAAAUGCUUGCAUUAUUUAUUUGUGUGAGACAUUUCAUAUUUCCUUGUCAUUGGCAUAUUCUUUAUGCAUCAACUGAUAUUUUGAUACUUUUCAAUUUGUAUAUUUCGACAAAAUAUUAUGCAUUUAAAACAUUUAGAUGCAUUUCAUUAUAUAAUGACUGUAUUAACACUUUUGUCAAUCUCUUUUAAUUUACAACAAGCUGUUCUUUGUACAUCACUUUAUAAUGCUGCAGUUAAGAUGUCAACGUGGAAAACUAUCAGGACGUUCUUAUUACUAUCCAUUCCCAUAUGGCGAUGGUAUCUCCAAGCAUGGCACUGAGAACGAUUUAUUUAUUCAUAUUAUUUUUAUUUUAUUUUCAGCUUUAUUUAAUCAGGGCGGCCUCAUCAGUUACACAAACUGCUGUCUUUGGGGGCUCUGAAAUAAAAAAAAAUCAAUAUGUACAACAUUUACAAAAAAAAUACAUUAAUCAAAAUUGCAUAUAAAGAUAUUACAGUGAAACAGAUUCAUAUGAUAAACAUUAAAUACAAUCAUAUAAAAGAUCAAAUUUGAAUCGGAAGAAAAGGUUACUUUAGAUUGAAGACAAGGGGACAAAUUAAGGCAUUUGGAAACCGCUAAAUAUGAUUUAACAAGAAAGGAAGUAUGACUGGUAACAGUAUUGUUUGAUUUAGAAAUAAUUUCAGUAACCGUUGAAUAAUGAAUAAUAAACAGAAUUUGAGUAAUGUUGCUAAAUGUGAUGAUAUGUGAUUUGACAGGCAAAAAAGGUGUGUGUUUUUGAGGUCAGAACCCCGUUUCCCAGUGCCAUGGUAUUCUCAUCGUAAGUUGUAUUUUUUUUUAUUUGUUAUUUUAUCAGGGAUUUAAAAAGAAAUUGAAUGAAUGAAAUGAUUUUAUAAUUAAUGUUAAUACCCAAGUCUUUUCCAUGUUCUUAUCUCUUCUGAUCUAUACACAAUGGUCAUUCUACAUCUUAGAUAUUUCUCAUCCUGUAUUUAUUACUAAUUGAAUUAAUUGCAUUUUUUUAUAUUCCUUUUCGGCAAAGGAAUUCAGACUUUAAAAUCGUUUAUCACUUACCUGCACGGAGUGCAGAGGUUAUUGUCUGAUGAAUAUUUGUUGUGGCACAAUCGUUUUUCUCUCUUGCAUCGUUAUAUCUUCAUGGUCACACUAUAGUGUCAAUGGUCCACAGCGUUCCCGCUUUCCCGUCCAUGAUGACGUUUCCUGUUUGUUGGAUUUCUUUUUCGUCAUCAAUGAUCUCAUUUGUCCUUUGAUUUCAAAAUGAAUAAUUGUACUAAGCAAAACUUUCUAAUAAAUUAUUCAAGUGG
rnacentral:misc_RNA from 1 species